rnacentral:misc_RNA from 1 species
GUUCAAUUUGCAGGUCAUUCAAUAUUUCUGGGGUACUUCAGUAUAUUUUCCUGACCAAAGAAAAAGGGAAACCUAAUCUUUGGUUAACAUUUUCUAUAUCGGAUGCUUGUUUUUUAAGGUAUUCCUAUUUUCCUUGACCCUUGUAAUGCAGAUAUCAAUUCCAGAUUUGUUUCCAAAGGACCAUACAUAAAUUACUUGAUUACAUAGCUAUGAG